rfam:Triticum aestivum genome assembly, contig: Triticum_aestivum_CS42_TGACv1_scaffold_582461_7BL
ACAUGGCGGUGAUGAUAAAAACUUUCAGCAAACAUGUCAGUUCUACUUAUGAUAAUUCAUGACUGAAAACCUGUUAUAUAGAUCUGAGCCAUGA